rnacentral:sRNA from 1 species
AGUGAAAUUCCGCCUUCGGCGGAGUGAAAUACCGCUUCGCAGAGUGAAAUACCGCUUCGCGGUGUGAAAUU